rnacentral:rRNA from 1 species
AAUGAACGUUGGCGGCGUGGAUUAGGCAUGCAAGUCGCGCGAUGAAGUUUUUUGCUUGCAAGAGACGGAUUAGCGGCGAAAGGGAGAGUAACGUGUGGAUCAUCUGCCUCUAGGACUGGGAUAGCCGCGGGAAACUGCGGGUAAUACCAGAUAAUAUCUCCGGAUCAAACGGUGAGAUUCCGCCUAGAGAUGAGUCCGCAUCCCACUAGCUAGUUGGUGAGGUAACGGCUCACCAAGGCCUCGAUGGGUACCGGGUGUGAGAGCAUGACCCGGCUCACUGGGACUGAGACACUGCCCAGACACCUACGGGUGGCUGCAGUCGAGAAUCUUCGGCAAUGGACGAAAGUCUGACCGAGCGACGCCGCGUGCGGGACGAAGGCCUUCGGGUUGUAAACCGCUGUCGGUUGGGAGGAAAUGCCAUGGAGCCAUCUUCAUGGUUUGACCUAUCAUCAGAGGAAGGACGGGCUAAGUUCGUGCCAGCAGCCGCGGUAAGACGAACCGUCCAAACGUUAUUCGGUAUCACUGGGCUUAAAGGGUGCGUAGGCGGCCUGAUAAGUAAGGUGUGAAAGACCUCGGCUCAACCGAGGAAUUGUGCUUUAAACUGUCAGGCUUGAGGAAGGUAGAGGUAAGCGGAACUUGCGGUGGAGCGGUGAAAUGCAUUGAUAUCGCAGGGAACACCAGUGGCGAAGGCGGCUUACUGGACCUUUUCUGACGCUGAGGCACGAAGGCUAGGGUAGCGAACGGGAUUAGAUACCCCGAUAGUCCUAGCCGUAAACGAUGAGCACUGGGUCGAGGGAUUUCCAUAGUCUCUUGGCCGAAGCGAAAGUGUUAAGUGCUCCGCCUGGGGAGUAUGGUCGCAAGGCUG